rnacentral:rRNA from 1 species
UACAGAGGGGGGCAAGCGUUGUUCGGAAUUACUGGGCGUAAAGGGCGCGUAGGCGGCCCGCUAAGUCGAACGUGAAAUCCCCGAGCUCAACUGCGGGUCUGCAGUCGAUACGGGCAGGCUAGAGUUCGGUAGGGGAGACUGGAAUUCCUGGUGUAGCGGUGAAAUGCGCAGAUAUCAGGAGGAACACCGGUGGCGAAGGCGGGUCUCUGGGCCGAUACUGACGUGAGGAGCGAAAGCGUGGGGGAGCGAACAGG